rnacentral:rRNA from 1 species
UGGGGAAUAUUGCACAAUGGGCGCAAGCCUGAUGCAGCCAUGCCGCGUGUGUGAAGAAGGCCUUCGGGUUGUAAAGCACUUUCAGCGGGGAGGAAGGCGGUGAGGUUAAUAACCUCAUCGAUUGACGUUACCCGCAGAAGAAGCACCGGCUAACUCCGUGCCAGCAGCCGCGGUAAUACGGAGGGUGCAAGCGUUAAUCGGAAUUACUGGGCGUAAAGCGCACGCAGGCGGUCUGUCAAGUCAGAUGUGAAAUCCCCGGGCUCAACCUGGGAACUGCAUCUGAUACUGGCAAGCUUGAGUCUCGUAGAGGGGGGUAGAAUUCCAGGUGUAGCGGUGAAAUGCGUAGAGAUCUGGAGGAAUACCGGUGGCGAAGGCGGCCCCCUGGACAAAGACUGACGCUCAGGUGCGAAAGCGUGGGGAGCAAACAGG